rnacentral:rRNA from 1 species
UACGGGGGGGGCAAGCGUUGUUCGGAAUUACUGGGCGUAAAGGGUCUGUAGGUGGCUCGCUAAGUCAGACGUGAAAUCCCUCAGCUUAACUGGGGAACUGCGUCUGAGACUGGCGAGCUUGAGUGCAGGAGAGGAAUGCGGAAUUCCAGGUGUAGCGGUGAAAUGCGUAGAUAUCUGGAGGAACACCGGUGGCGAAGGCGGCAUUCUGGACUGCAACUGACACUGAGAGACGAAAGCCAGGGGAGCAAACGGG